AUGAACCUGCUACUGAUUUUCCUGUUCAUGCUGGAGGCCCCUUCAGGUGUCCUCUCCCAAGUGCAGCUGAAGGAAAUGGGUUUGGGAGCGGCGAAACCCGGGGAGUCCCUGACACUCACUUGUACCAUCUCCGGAGACUCGGUUUCUAGCACCAGAGCUACCUGGGACUGGUUCCGGCAGCCCGCGGGGAAGCGGCCGGAAUGGAUGGGGUGCACAUGGUAUAGGUCUGGCAGGUGGUACACUGAGUACCCCAGCUCUCUGCAGAGUCGAAUGACCAUCACACAAGACACUUCCAAGAACCAGUUCUCCCUGGAGCUCCGCUCGGUGACAGCUGCAGACACCGCCACCUAUUACUGCUCCGGGAGAGACACACAGUGA